GUGCCAGCAGCCGCGGUAAUACGAAGGGUGCAAGCGUUAAUCGGAAUUACUGGGCGUAAAGGGUGCGCAGGCGGUUUUGUAAGACAGGUGUGAAAUCCCCGGGCUUAACCUGGGAACUGCGCUUGUGACUGCAAGACUUGAGUGCGGCAGAGGGGGGUGGAAUUCCACGUGUAGCAGUGAAAUGCGUAGAGAUGUGGAGGAACACCGAUGGCGAAGGCAGCCCCCUGGGUCGACACUGACGCUCAUGCACGAAAGCGUGGGGAGCAAACAGGAUUAGAUACCCUGGUAGUCCACGCCCUAA
rnacentral:rRNA from 1 species